CCCCCCCCCCCCUCUUAAUAUGGUUGAUGCUGUCAUAAUUGCAUGUCUUGAUGUAGUUUUGCAGAUAAGCAUCUUAUACGAUUUGGAAGGAUGCCUCCUUCUGUAGGUUUUUGGCUUUCUGAACAUUCUUGUGUUCUUGAGGGGUCUACCACCUUCUGUAGGGUUUGUCUGUAAUUGUUUGAGAUAUAUUUGAUUGAUGUUGUGUCUGUUACAGUAAAGAGUUAUUAGCCUGGUUGGCUGUUGUUACUUAUCGCAAUAGCUCAUUUGGACAGCUCAAUGUGCUAGCUGGUUUUUAUUAGCUGCUUGAUUUUUAUGGCUGGUAAAACUAACUAAUAGCUGUUUGACAGUGUAAAUGUAGGUGACGACAAAAAAGCUCUCAUAACAAGUUCUAAAUUUGAGCUAUUGCAAGAGAGCUUAAGCACCUAAAAAGAACUUUCUGAGUUGGUCAAACAGCUACCAUCCUCCCUCCACCCCCCCCCCCCCCUUCCCGCCCCAAACCCCUAGAAAGCUGUAGGUUCUUCAAUAAGCAUUUGAGUUGCCAGACUCAUUUUUUACCUAACUGUGUGGAAAGAACCUUCCUGAAAGUAAGAAAAAUGUGUCUGAUUAGAGUUUGGAGUGUUGCAAUUGAGUUACUGGAAGGUUACCUCUCCAAAUAAGAUUCAUUUCUUAUUUUUGUUCCAAGAUGCCUCAAAUUUCUACUUCUUUUCUCUUAAAAUUCAUAUACUAUCUUCUUUGUAGAAUUCUACCUUGUUUAAUAAUUCACAUUCCUGUCUGUAAGUGGAUAUCUAUUUACCGACCUAUGUUGAGAACUCCUUAUUCUUCUGUGUAUUUUUUCGCUUUGGUAUCUUUUGUGUGGUAUAGUUCUAUCAAUAGUAGAAUGUUCAGGGAUUUUAUCUUCUAGGAUGUUAUUUCCACCCACUAUAGUGGGGGCUGCUUAAAAGAUAGUGAUCUGGGUUUUUCGCCUUUUGGAAUAUAGUUUUAUCUCAAUGGUCUAAUGAGAGCCCUUAAUCACUUUUAUUGAAGGUUGACCUGGAACCGAAUUAAUUUAAAACUUGUUGGAUUAUCAGCUUCUGUGUUUCUACUUCCAUCAACCUUAACAAAGUUGAGUAAGCUCCAAUAUUUGUCCCUAAUUGCUCUCCUCCUCUCGAUAUUUCCCUCUGUUGGUUGACCAGUGCCUGCUUUGAUGAGUUUGAAACCAACAAUUUUGAAUACUUUCAGAUUAAUCAAGUAGAUUGACUGAUUGGUGAUGUGCAACAAUUGACAUCAUAGUUGAUAGUCAGUCAGUCAGAGCAGAAGAAUGAUGGCUUGGACCCUUGUGGUUGCCGCAAUAUCCACAAUGAAGGUCAACUGGGGUGCUUUUGCCUCCAUGGAAGAUUCUUGUCUCACAGGAGGAGGAAGCUCAAGAGCCAAUCUUCAUAUUUGCUAUCAGCGUGAAUUAUGCACGUUCUCCAUCACCUGUGUUGUAACCGUUGGUGCAGCUACUAGUAGGAUUAGCCAUGGCAUUUUUGCUGGUCAGGUACUGUUAAAAUCCAAGUAUUGCACACAUUGUGAUCAAGUUAGGAGUAACUAGAAAGUUGAAAGCCCGAAGAAGCCUGAGAAUGGGAUGACAAAAUCACAAGUUCAGCUUGAUAUGCUUUCUUUUUGACCAAACAGUGUAACAUGGAGCAUAACUAUAGGUGGCAAUCAAGUUGAUACCUUCAAGUUCAGAAUGCAUUUGAAUAUACGACUGUAAGUAUAGUAAUUAGAUUAUAGUAUCUUUAAGUUCACAAUUGGAUUCCCCUCAAAAAAAAAAAUGUUCACAACUGGAUUAGAUUUUAUUGAUAGUUUCCAUACUGGAAAAAUAUUACUUAAUUGUUAUGAUUCUUUCUUAUUGAGAAAGGCUGUACCAAAAAGAAGAAAUCGAUCAACUCGAAUGGAGCCAAGGUAAAAUUCUCUCUUUUAUAAACUUAUUUCUAUGGUGCUUCCAACUGCUGCAGUUCACACUUACAAGACUCCAUUUUGCUAUACUUGUUAUGAGAAACUGCAGAGACAGGGUUAAACCAAAGAGAAAAAAAACUGGACCUAAAAAGUCGAAGGAGAUAUAAAAAAACAAUGUAAAUCUCCGGAAGCAUAUAAAAUCGCUUGUUGGUGAUGGUGGUGAAGAUAAUGCAGUCGCCGUUGAUGGCGAAGGUGAAGAGUUUGAUGGAGUUGGGACUUGGGACGCUUUCGACCGCCCUUUGGUUGCGGUUGCUGGGUUCAACUGAUGAACUAUACAGCUAUUCUGCUCUUGAGGAGGUAGGAGAGAAUAUGGAUUGGCCAAAGAUGGAGAAAGGGAAGGUUGAGAGAAUGAUCUUAUAUUCUUAGUCAUUUUCUUUGGUCGGGCUCCUUCAAUCCUAAUUACCCAAGUCUUUUCGAUGUAUAUAUAUAACAAAUGUAUUGGUCGAUAGAAGUGUAAAUCAAUACAUAUAAAUAUAAAUAUAACUGUAGUUUUUGUCCCUCAAUCUAUUGGUCGCCAUAGAACUUCUUCAAGUGAAGACAAUGCCUAAUUUUCUCUUUCAUUAUUGGUUUUGUAAGUUUAGUGUUAGUAAUGUAUCUUUUGCCUCUUUAAUGUAGAGCUAUUCUACAUGUAUCUAGAUUUUUUUCCCCUUA